UACGAGGGGGGCAAGCGUUGUUCGGAAUUAUUGGGCGUAAAGGGCGCGUAGGCGGUUUGGUAAGUCUGAUGUGAAAUCUCCGGGCUCAACUCGGAGUCUGCAUCAGAAACUGCCGGGCUUGAGUGUGGGAGAGGUGAGUGGAAUUCCUGGUGUAGCGGUGAAAUGCGUAGAUAUCAGGAGGAACACCUGUGGCGAAAGCGGCUCACUGGACCAUAACUGACGCUGAUGCACGAAAGCUAGGGGAGCAAACAGG
rnacentral:rRNA from 1 species